GUAGUUUGAUCGUGGCUCAGAUUGAACGCUGGCGGCAUGCCUUACACAUGCAAGUCGAACGGACAGCAUGAUCUAGCUUGCUAGAUUGAUGGCGGAGUGGCGAACGGGUGGAGUAAUACAUCGGAACGUGCCCUGUAGUGGGGGAUAACUAGUCGAAAGAUUAGCUAAUACCGCAUACGACCUGAGGGUGAAAGUGGGGGACCGCAAGGCCUCAUGCUAUAGGAGCGGCCGAUGUCUGAUUAGCUAGUUGGUGGGGUAAAGGCCCACCAAGGCGACGAUCAGUAGCUGGUCUGAGAGGACGAUCAGCCACACUGGGACUGAGACACGGCCCAGACUCCUACGGGAGGCAGCAGUGGGGAAUUUUGGACAAUGGGCGAAAGCCUGAUCCAGCAAUGCCGCGUGUGUGAGAAGGCCUGGUGU
rnacentral:rRNA from 1 species